GCCAAACUAGGUAGCAGCCUUGGAAAGCAGCUCAGGCUUCUCCGGGUCUACACACGUCAGCCAGCCUCAUAUCUUCACUGUCAUCUGAAUCGCCAUCAUCGGCAGAUGUGGGUCCCCUAAAGAUGCCUUUGCCCCCAGACAGCAGGAAGUAAAUUUAAGAAUAUGAUGCCCACAUUCCCAAGAGGUGUGGUACGUGGCUUUUGGUCACUCAGUGGGUUAUGGAUGUUUGUCAUUGUUUAGGGUUGUUGGUUACAAGUUGUUGGUAAUGGUCAGGAAAAAAGUUGAACAAAGAAGAUUAUAUUCAGUGUUCUUGUUUGAAAAAAAAAUAAGGGAAUAGAGAUAUGAUAGGGAAAAGAGUAAUUAUUGAAUCCACUCUGAAAAAAAAGAUAUAGAAAUGAUAAAAGGGUAGAUUAUUGAAUCUAUUCUGAAAAGAAAAAAGGGGAAUAUGGAUAUGAUAAGAUAAAAAGGUAGAUUAUUGAAUCUACUUUUAAAAAGCAAUUACUAGUUAUAAAUGUUUUACAUUGGAUUGGAUUUUUGUAUAUUGUACACAGAUUGUGUAUACUGAUAGAAGUUUGAGAUUAAUUUUGUUAGAACAUACUGUACAUACAUUUCUACUCUCAUUCAAGGCAUUGUACCUAUACAUCUCAUUUAACAAUGUAAUGCAAAUUGCUAGUCCUUGAAAGUUAUUAUUACAAACUAUUUAGGAUAAUAAAGAAAUGAAGGUUAGUAGUUAGUCAUCUAUUACAAUCAAACUUGUUUUCAAGUAAUAAAUAAAAUCAAUAAAUAAAAAUGUUUUCAAAGUCAAACAGAUAUAUUUUAGAUAGCCAGAUCAACACUUCAGAGAUCUACAGAAUAUGACAUUUAAGAUGUUUUAAUAACAUAGGUUCUUUUUAUUUUUAUGACAAGGAGACAUGUCUGCUCAUGUCAGUACCAAUCUUUUUCGGAGAAGAUGAUGGGCAUCGAAGAAACUCCAUAUGGAGUUUACUUUCUUUGUGGCAAAUUAGCCACUGAGCAAGAAAAUGCCCUUGCCUCAACUGUUGAAAGUAUGCUGUCCAAAAUGGACAAGCAGGACACAAAUAAAGGACUGCUGAACUUUGCCAAGACAAGCCACUAAGAAGAAGAAACAGAGAUCCUAGGAAUCUCCUGAGCUUCCCACCCAGGCCUGUCCAAUACCUGGAGAAUCCCAAGACCCCUUGAAUGCCUCUGCCUAGGCCUGCUGAUGGAGGCAAUGGUUUUUCUUUCUUUCUUUCUUUUUUUUUUUUUUUU